UACAGAGGGGGCAAGCGUUGUUCGGAAUUACUGGGCGUAAAGGGCGCGUAGGCGGCCCGCUAAGUCGAACGUGAAAUCCCCGAGCUCAACUCGGGAACUGCGUCCGAUACUGGCGGGCUUGAAUCCGGGAGAGGGAUGCGGAAUUCCAGGUGUAGCGGUGAAAUGCGUAGAUAUCUGGAGGAACACCGGUGGCGAAGGCGGCAUCCUGGGUAGAUACUGACGCUGAGGCGCGAAAGCGUGGGGAGCAAACAGG
rnacentral:rRNA from 1 species